rnacentral:lncRNA from 1 species
UGGCUUGAUCCACAUCCUACAUGAAGAUAAAGCUGAAUUGAAGGAGAGUCUGAUUGACCUUUGUUUUGGCUGAGGCAUGGAAAUUCACAGUUACAGAGAGCAGUAGUGGAGAAGAAGAAGAACAACCACCUGCCAAAACCUCCAGACUUUUCUCUGGCUACCGCAACAAGAUCAGUGUAACGGCUCUCGUUGGUGGUAGAAGUGGACCAAGGCGCAGCGUGGUAAGUGUUCAUGAUACUUUUAUUCACAAAAACACUUCAACAAAAUACCAAAGUAACAAUCCGAAAGCGCACAGUUCUGUCAUGCACAGAUACUAAACAGAAAACAAGAUCCCACAAACUCAUGUGGAAAACAGGCUGCCUAAGUAUGAUUCCCAAUCAGAGACAAUGAUAGACAGCUGCCUCUGAUUGGGAACCACACUGGCCCAAAAACAAAGAAACAGAAAACAGAAUUUCCC